rnacentral:rRNA from 1 species
CUAACACAUGCAAGUCGAACGCAGUAGCAAUACUGAGUGGCAGACGGGUGAGUAACAUGUGGGAAUCUGCCUUGUGGUUCAGGACAACAUUGGGAAACCGAUGCUAAUACUGGAUAAGCCCUUACGGGGAAAGUUUUAAUGCCAUAAGAUGAGCCCGCAUUUGAUUAGUUAGUUGGUGAGGUAAUGGCUCACCAAGACAAUGAUCAAUAGCUGAUCUGAGAGGAUGAUCAGCCACACUGGGACUGAGACACGGCCCAGACUCCUACGGGAGGCAGCAGUGGGGAAUCUUGCACAAUGGAGGAAACUCUGAUGCAGCGAUGCCGCGUGAGUGAAGAAGGCCUUUGGGUUGUAAAGCUCUUUUGUAGGGGAAGAUAAUGACUGUACCCUAAGAAUAAGGUCCGGCUAACUUCGUGCCAGCAGCCGCGGUAAUACGAAGGGACCUAGCGUAGUUCGGAAUUACUGGGCGUAAAGCGCGCGUAGGCCGUUGAGUUAGUUAAUUGUGAAAUCCCAAAGCUUAACUUUGGAACUGCAAUUAAAACUGCUCGACUAGAGUUUGAUAGAGGAAAGCGGAAUACAUAGUGUAGAGGUGAAAUUCGUAGAUAUUAUGUAGAACACCAGUUGCGAAGGCGGCUUUCUGGAUCAACACUGACGCUGAGGCGCGAAAGUAUGGGUAGCAAAGAGGAUUAGAUACCCUCGUAGUCCAUACCAUAAACGAUGAUUGCUAGAUGUUGGAAAUUUAUUUUCAGUAUCGCAGCUAACGCAUUAAGCAAUCCGCCUGGGGAGUACGACCGCAAGGUUAAAACUCAAAUGAAUUGACGG